GAUGAACGCUGGCGGCGUGCUUAACACAUGCAAGUCGAACGAAGCACUCUAUUUGAUUUUCUUCGGAAAUGAAGAUUUUGUGACUGAGUGGCGGACGGGUGAGUAACGCGUGGGUAACCUGCCUCAUACAGGGGGAUAACAGUUGGAAACGACUGCUAAUACCGCAUAAGCGCACAGGAUCGCAUGAUCCGGUGUGAAAAACUCCGGUGGUAUGAGAUGGACCCGCGUCUGAUUAGCCAGUUGGCAGGGUAACGGCCUACCAAAGCGACGAUCAGUAGCCGACCUGAGAGGGUGACCGGCCACAUUGGGACUGAGACACGGCCCAAACUCCUACGGGAGGCAGCAGUGGGGAAUAUUGCAUAAUGGGGGAAACCCUGAUGCAGCGACGCCGCGUGAGCGAAGAAGUAUUUCGGUAUGUAAAGCUCUAUCAGCAGGGAAGAAGAAUGACGGUACCUGACUAAGAAGCACCGGCU
rnacentral:rRNA from 1 species